GGGAUUAGCUCAGCUGGCUAGAGCGCCUGCCUUGCACGCAGGAGGUCAUCGGUUCGACUCCGAUAUUCUCCACAUCCCCAGU
rnacentral:tRNA from 1 species